rnacentral:rRNA from 1 species
UCCGAANGGUGAACCUGCGGAAGGAUCAUU